rnacentral:ncRNA from 1 species
ACCUUAUCUAGAGCGGCGGAGGGACUGGCCCGAUGAAGCCCGGCAACCACUGUACCUUGUACAGACUGGUGCCAAUUCCUACAAGACAGGUGAAAUGUCUUGGAAGAUGAGGA